rnacentral:rRNA from 1 species
GAAUUGCAGAAUUCAGUGGAAUCAUCGAAUCUUUGAACGCACCUUGCGCCCUUUGGCUAUUCCGAAGGGCAUGCCUGUUUGAGUAUCAUG